rnacentral:rRNA from 1 species
AGAGUUUGAUCAUGGCUCAGGAUGAACGCUAGCUACAGGCUUAACACAUGCAAGUCGAGGGGCAGCAUCAUCAAAGCUUGCUUUGAUGGAUGGCGACCGGCGCACGGGUGAGUAACACGUAUCCAACCUGCCGACAACACUGGGAUAGCCUUUCGAAAGAAAGAUUAAUACCGGAUGGUAUAGUUUUCCCGCAUGGGAUGAUUAUUAAAGAAUUUCGGUUGUCGAUGGGGAUGCGUUCCAUUAGGCAGUUGGCGGGGUAACGGCCCACCAAACCUACGAUGGAUAGGGGUUCUGAGAGGAAGGUCCCCCACAUUGGAACUGAGACACGGUCCAAACUCCUACGGGAGGCAGCAGUGAGGAAUAUUGGUCAAUGGACGAGAGUCUGAACCAGCCAAGUAGCGUGAAGGAUGACUGCCCUAUGGGUUGUAAACUUCUUUUAUACGGGAAUAAAGUGAGCC